rnacentral:rRNA from 1 species
UACAGAGGUCCCGAGCGUUGUUCGGAUUCACUAGGCGUAAAGGGUGCGUAGGUGGUGAGGUAAGUCGGAUGUGAAAUCUCGGAGCUCAACUCCGAAACUGCAUUGGAAACUACCUCGCUCGAGGGUUGGAGGGGGGACUGGAAUACUUGGUGUAGCAGUGAAAUGCGUAGAUAUCAAGUGGAACACCAGUGGCGAAGGCGAGUCCCUGGACAACUCCUGACACUGAGGCACGAAAGCUAGGGGAGCAAACAGG